UACGAAGGGAGCUAGCGUUGUUCGGAAUUACUGGGCGUAAAGGGCGCGUAGGCGGCUUUGAUAGUUAGGCGUGAAAUGCCUGGGCUUAACCCAGGAACUGCGCUCAAUACUACAAGGCUUGAGUGUGGGAGAGGAUAGUGGAAUUCCCAGUGUAGAGGUGAAAUUCGUAGAUAUUCGCAAGAACACCAGUGGCGAAGGCGGCUCACUGGCCCGGUACUGACGCUGAGGUGCGAAAGCGUGGGGAGCAAACAGG
rnacentral:rRNA from 1 species